ACCAGGGCAAAGAGAAGAGUGGUGCAGAGAGAGAAAAGAGCAGUGGGAAUAGGAGCUGUGUUCCUUGGGUUCUUGGGAGCAGCAGGAAGCACUAUGGGCGCGGCGUCAAUAACGCUGACGGUACAGGCCAGACAAUUAUUGUCUGGUAUAGUGCAACAGCAGAAUAAUCUGCUGAGGGCUAUUGAGGCGCAACAACAUCUGUUGCAACUCACAGUCUGGGGCAUCAAGCAGCUCCAGGCGAGAGUCCUGGCUGUGGAGAGAUACCUAAAGGAUCAACAGCUCCUGGGGAUUUGGGGUUGCUCUGGAAAACUCAUUUGCACCACUGCUGUGCCUUGGA
rfam:HIV-1 CRF03_AB isolate KAL153 from Russia, complete genome.